rnacentral:tRNA from 1 species
AAUAAGGUCAGCUAAACAAGCUAUUGGGCCCAUACCCCGAAAAUGUUGGUUCAACACCUUCCCUUAUUA